GAUGGUAGGAUAGUGGCCUACCAUGAUGGUGAUGGAUGAGGAGAAUUGAGGUUCGAUUUUGGAGAGAGAGCCUGAGAGACAGCUACCACAUCCAAGGAAGGCAACAGCGUGCAAAUUACCCAAUCCUGACAUGGAGAGGUUGUGACAAUAAAUAUCAAUGUUGGGCUCUCGAGUGUGGUAAUUGGAAUGAGCACAAUCUAAAUCCCUUAACAAGGAUCAAUUGGAGGGAAAGUCUGGCACCAGCAAUCGCGGUAAUUCUAGCUCCAACAGCGUAUAUUUAAGUUGUUGCAGUUAAAAAGCUCAUAGUUGGAACUCAGCGUGGGCCCAUCGAUCAACCAUCGCGGUGUCCACUGGCGGCCCUCCCUGCAGGUCGACAACUCAGCUCUAUCUUAGCUGGCCAGGCCGUGCCCCCGAGGUGAUUACUUUGAAGAAAUUAGAGUGAUGAAAGUAGGCCCAAGCUCUACAUACAUUAGCAUGGGAUAACAGUGGAGGACUUUGGUCCUAUCGUGUUGGCCUUCGGAACUGGAGUAAUGAUUAACAGGGACNGNUUGGGGGGCAUCCGUAUUCCGCAGUCAGAGG
rnacentral:rRNA from 1 species